rnacentral:rRNA from 1 species
GACGAACGCUGGCGGCGUGCUUAACACAUGCCAGUCGAACGAUGAAGAAAAGAAUCGAAGCUUCGGCAGAAAUUCAUUUCGGAUUAGUGGCAGACGGGUGAGUAACGCGUGAGCAACCUACCUCUUACAAAGGGAUAGCCUCGGGAAACCGGGAUUAUUACCAUAUAACAUUGCGACGAAGCAUUUCGAUGCAAUCAAAGCUACGGCGGUAAGAGAUGGGCUCGCGUCCCAUUAACCGGAUGGUGAGGUAACGGCUCACCAUAGUGACGAUGGGUAACCGGCCUGAGAGGGUGAACGGUCACACUGGAACUGAGACACGGUCCAGACUCCUACGGGAGGCAGCAGUGGGGAAUAUUGCACAAUGGAGGGAACUCUGAUGCAGCGACGCCGCGUGAGUGAUGAAGGAAUUCGUUUCGUAAAACUCUGUUCUAUGGGAAGAAAAGGACUGUACCAUAGGAGAAAGCUCCGGCUAAAUACGUG